AUUGAACGCUGGCGGCAGGCUUAACACAUGCAAGUCGAGCGGGGAAAGGUAGCUUGCUACCUGACCUAGCGGCGGACGGGUGAGUAAUGCUUAGGAAUCUGCCUAUUAGUGGGGGACAACAUUCCGAAAGGAAUGCUAAUACCGCAUACGCCCUACGGGGGAAAGCAGGGGAUCUUCGGACCUUGCGCUAAUAGAUGAGCCUAAGUCAGAUUAGCUAGUUGGUGGGGUAAAGGCCUACCAAGGCGACGAUCUGUAGCGGGUCUGAGAGGAUGAGCCGCCACACUGGGACUGAGACACGGCCCGGACUCCUACGGGAGGCAGCAGUGGGGAAUAUUGGACAAUGGGCGAAAGCCUGAUCCAGCCAUGCCGCGUGUGUGAAGAAGGCCUUUUGGUUGUAAAGCACUUUAAGCGAGGAGGAGGCUACUUGGAUUAAUACUCUAGGAUAGUGGACGUUACUCGCAGAAUAAGCACCGGCUAACUCUGUGCCAGCAGCCGCCGUAAGAC
rnacentral:rRNA from 1 species